UACGUAGGGUGCGAGCGUUUAAUCGGAAUUACUGGGCGUAAAGCGUGCGCAGGCGGUUCGUUAAGACAGAUGUGAAAUCCCCGGGCUUAACCUGGGAACUGCAUUUGUGACUGGCGAGCUAGAGUAUGGCAGAGGGGGGUAGAAUUCCACGUGUAGCAGUGAAAUGCGUAGAGAUGUGGAGGAAUACCGAUGGCGAAGGCAGCCCCCUGGGCCAAUACUGACGCUCAUGCACGAAAGCGUGGGGAGCAAACAGG
rnacentral:rRNA from 1 species